rnacentral:lncRNA from 1 species
CAAAUUGUACUAAACUAUAGNUAUCAAUACUAUAAUAUACUUAAAAAAACUAAACUAUUUUUUACUAAAAACUAAUUAACUGUUUUAUAGUUCAGUUUAAGAAAACUGAACUUUUUAUAGUUUGAGUUUAGUUNACUGAUGAACUGUUUCUUUCUUUAUAUUUCUAUUCAAUUGCUUUUCGGGAAAACUUAUCUACUCUUUCUUAAAAAUGAAUCACACUCUUCUCAAUGUAUCAUUUGCUGUCUAAAAUUUGUCUUUUAAACCUACAAUUUCUUGCUCUUAUAUGAUCAUGCAUUUUGUAUGCUUUUUGACUCAAUGAUUUCAAAUAUUCUUUUUCUGAAUGAUAGAAUCUAUAAUGGGGUCACAUGAAAUAGUG